UCGAUAGGAAACUCAGUUUAGUGUGGAAAGGUUUUAACAACAUCGGUAUUGGCCGAUAACAAAAUGUAAUUUUUAAAACAUUAUCAUGAAAUAAAAACAAGAUGGAAUGUUAUAGUCGCGUUUUCGGAGCCUGCGAGAAAUUUCAUAAUUUUCUGGAAUAUCGAAUUUGCCGUUCUGUUCCAAAACGAUCGAGAUAUAUACAAAGAAUCCGAAUAUUCACAGGUUUGUCGAUUGGUUAAAUAUCUAAAUUAUGAAUGCACGACAAACACCUUGGUGGAUACCAUUCCCAACACUACUGAGAACAAGA